GAGGGACUUGCAUUCUCAAUGGCUCUGGUGGGGCAGAACCCUAUGCUGAGAAUCUCUGAUGGAGGUUCCAGUUCAGGAAAAUAUUAAAACAGAGAACUGGAAGGGACUUCAUAAAAUGCUUACAGCCACAGAAUCUCAGGGUUACAACGAGGCAGUAAGUUGGUCAGUUGGUCCUGUGGGUGCCUUCUGA
rnacentral:lncRNA from 1 species